GAUCUACUUUCCUUCCUUGUCAGUCGUCUAGUCGCCAUUUUGGACGCGAUGACAAGUGUACACGGUGUUUCGUCGCUCCGCAUAAUUACAGAUUUCUAAGAAUUUCUACAUACAGAGCGUCGAAUAUACCAGUGUUUACAUCUCUUCAAUACGACAUGUUAUCCGUCAUCGAAUUUACUUCUGCAGCUAUUAUUUUAUUUUAGAAUUAUUAUAUAUUACGACAG